GAUGAACGCUGGCGGCGUGCCUAAUACAUGCAAGUCGAGCGAACAGAUAAGGAGCUUGCUCCUUUGACGUUAGCGGCGGACGGGUGAGUAACACGUGGGUAACCUACCUAUAAGACUGGGAUAACUUCGGGAACCCGGAGCUAAUACCGGAUAACAUUUGGAACCGCAUGGUUCUACAGUGAAAGAUGGUUUUGCUCUCACUUAUAGAUGGACCCGCGCCGUAUUAGCUAGUUGGUAAGGUAACGGCUUACCAAGGCGACGAUACGUAGCCGACCUGAGAGGGUGAUCGGCCACACUGGAACUGAGACACGGUCCAGACUCCUACGGGAGGCAGCAGUAGGGAAUCUUCCGCAAUGGGCGAAAGCCUGACGGAGCAACGCCGCGUGAGUGAUGAAGGGUUUCGGCUCGUAAAACUCUGUUAUUAGGGAAGAACAAAUGUGUAAGUAACUGUGCACGUCUUGACGGUACCUAAUCAGAAAGCCACGGCUAACUACGUG
rnacentral:rRNA from 1 species